rnacentral:tRNA from 1 species
GGUGAUAUAGCUCAGUAGUAGAGCGCAUGCUUAGCAUGUGUGAGGUCCUGGGUUCAAUCUCCAGUACCUCCA